GAUGAACGCUGGCGGCGUGCCUAAUACAUGCAAGUCGAGCGAACAGACGGGGAGCUUGCUCCUCUGACGUUAGCGGCGGACGGGUGAGUAACACGUGGAUAACCUACCUAUAAGACUGGGAUAACUUCGGGAAACCGGAGCUAAUACCGGAUAAUAUAUUGAACCGCAUGGUUCAAUAGUGAAGGACGGUUUUGCUGUCACUUAUAGAUGGAUCCGCGCCGCAUUAGCUAGUUGGUAAGGUAACGGCUUACCAAGGCAACGAUGCGUAGCCGACCUGAGAGGGUGAUCGGCCACACUGGAACUGAGACACGGUCCAGACUCCUACGGGAGGCAGCAGUAGGGAAUCUUCCGCAAUGGGCGAAAGCCUGACGGAGCAACGCCGCGUGAGUGAUGAAGGUCUUCGGAUCGUAAAACUCUGUUAUUAGGGAAGAACAAAUGUGUAAGUAACUAUGCACGUCUUGACGGUACCUAAUCAGAAAGCCACGGCUAACUACGUG
rnacentral:rRNA from 1 species